GGGUCAGUAGGUUGGUCGUGCCACCGGUACGUACUGGUCUCAAUGAUUCCUCCUUCCUGAAGAACCGUAAUGCCAUUAAUUUGGUGUUGCGGGGAAACAGGACUGUUACUUUGAAAAAAUUAGAGUGUUUAAAGCAAGCUAACGCUUGAAUACAUUAGCAUGGAAUAAUGAAAUAGGACGAUCGAUCCUAUUUUGUUGGUUUCUAGGAUUGACGUA
rnacentral:rRNA from 1 species